UCGAGUUAAUUUAAUUCAUUCUGUUUUUCUCUCCUUUUUUUUUUUCUUUUUUCCAAAAUACCGUUAUCACCGCCAAAACUUUGUUAGUUUGUCAGUUAAAUAUAUUCCUUCUCUACAAAACGAACAUACCCAUAAAGUCAGUUUUCUCUUUAUUCUCUCCCACUUCCUCUCUUUUCCGCAUUUUUAGUAAGGCAUUGCUGUGAUAAUGGACGACGAACAGAAACAAAAUCUACAUAAGAAGGGAAUGCAUAAUACUGAAGCUAAUGUUGAUCAGCCAAAUAUUGUUAUGUAUGAUCCUCGUGAGGGAUUUCUGCCUGUGUGGUGGCAUAAUGUCUAUCGAACUGGCAGCACUAGGCAUCCAGAAGAAUCCUC